GUUGGGGAAUGACUAAGGGGAAGGGAUAGAUAGGGAGUUUAGGAAAGACAUGUACAUACUGCUAUAUUUAAAAUGGAUAACCAACAA